UGUUGCUGGCCUCUUCUUGGGGUAUGUGCACGCAUGUCAUCUUUAUUUCUUUACCUGUGCACUGUUUAUAGAACUGAGGGGAAUAUAUUGUCUGAGCUAUCAGACAGUUUAGAGGACUGCUGUGCUGUCUGUUAUCCAAAUAGGGAGCCAGCUUUGCCUUGUCUCUUAAGUUCUAUGUCAUUUUACAUAUACCUAUGAAUGCAACAGAAUGUUGAUGAUCUGGGUCUUGAUAGUACCCAAAUAAAGUUGUAACAACUUUCAGCAACGGAUCUCUUGGCUCUCGCAUCGAUGAAGAACGCAGCGAAAUGCGAUAAGUAAUGUGAAUUGCAGAAUUCAGUGAAUCAUCGAAUUUUUGAACGCAUCUUGCGCUCCUUGGUAUUCUGAGGAGCAUGCCUGUUUGAGUGUCAUUAAAUUCUCAACUACACUGAUUUUAUUAGUGUAGCUUGGAACUGGGGGAAUGAUUUUGCAGGCUUUGUAACUAAAGUCAGCUCCCCUUAAAUUGAUUANCAGUUACUUUAGUUGAUUGUCUACAGGUGUGAUAAUUAUCUACGCCUUGGAUAUUUGUAUUUAACACUGCUUUUUUGACCCUCUUUUAUGAAAAAGAGAUGACNAUCCUUGACCUCAAAUCNNGUAGGACUACC
rnacentral:rRNA from 1 species